UACGAAGGGGGCGAGCGUUGUUCGGAUUUACUGGGCGUAAAGGGCGCGCAGGCGGCGCAUUUUGUCAGGCGUGAAAGCCCCGGGCUUAACCUGGGAACUGCGUUUGAUACGGAUGGGCUAGAGUUCGGGAGAGGAGAGUGGAAUUCCCAGUGUAGAGGUGAAAUUCGUAGAUAUUGGGAGGAACACCGGUGGCGAAGGCGGCGACCUGGGUAGAUACUGACGCUGAGGUGCGAAAGCGUGGGGAGCAAACAGG
rnacentral:rRNA from 1 species